UUCCAGUGAGCAUGCUGUCCCCACUUGUGCAUUAGUAUGAGCUCAGUUGCUAAGAACACAUCUGUGUCACAUUAAGAGAGAAAAGCACUUCCCUUGGAGUCAUUUAACUGAGAUGCAUCUCUGUGAGCACAAGGACCUACAUGACUUCUACAUGUAAUACAGUGAGGUAUCCCCUUAUGAAAAAGCUUUUUCAUGCCCAAAGGGAUUGAGAACCACUGCUCUAGACCAAACAAGUGUGAUAUUUCUAUGGGGAAGAGGUUAGUUAUGUAUUUCUGACAAAUAUCUUUGUGUGAGGGCUGAUAAGUACAUGGGAAGUGACCUUAUGGA